GUCAUGCAACAUGCUGGAUGCCAGCUGUUAUAAAACCCGAUAGAAGAGGAAGAAGAACCAGAAGAAGACGACGAAGGACAACAAAAAGAACAACAUAGAACAUUUUCGCUGGGGAAGGUGGAGCUAAAUGGUUUGAAUCUGCAGUUGAACAGCUUUAUUUCAAGUUUGCACCUGCAAUUUAAUAGUUUUCUAAAGAAUGGAUGAUUCCAGUGUUGUGGCAUUUAUGGUUUCCC